rnacentral:rRNA from 1 species
UGGGGAAUAUUGCACAAUGGAGGGAACUCUGAUGCAGCGACGCCGCGUGAACGAAGAAGGCUUUCGAGUCGUAAAGUUCUUUUAUAUGGGAAGAUAAUGACGGUACCAUAAGAAAAAGCCCCGGCUAACAACGUGCCAGCAGCCGCGGUAAUACGUAGGGGGCUAGCGUUGUCCGGAAUCACUGGGCGUAAAGGGUUCGCAGGCGGAAAUGCAAGUCAGGUGUAAAAGGCAGUAGCUUAACUACUGUAAGCAUUUGAAACUGCAUAUCUUGAGAAGAGUAGAGGUAAGUGGAAUUUUUAGUGUAGCGGUGAAAUGCGUAGAUAUUAAAAAGAAUACCGGUGGCGAAGGCGACUUACUGGGCUCAUUCUGACGCUGAGGAACGAAAGCGUGGGUAGCAAACAGG